rnacentral:rRNA from 1 species
UGGGGGAUAUUGCACAAUGGGCGAAAGCCUGAUGCAGCGACGCCGCGUGGGGGAUGAAGGCCUUCGGGUUGUAAACUUCUUUUGCUCUGAACAAGGCGCACCAUGGGGUGUGUUGAGUGUAGGGGUUGAUUAGCGCCGGCUAACUACGUGCCAGCAGCCGCGGUAAUACGUAGGGCGCGAGCGUUGUCCGGAAUUAUUGGGCGUAAAGGGCUUGUAGGUGGCUGGUUGCGUCUGUCGUGAAAGCUCAUGGCUUAACUGUGGGUUUGCGGUGGGUACGGGCUGGAUUAAAUGCAGUAGGGGAGGCUGGAAUUCCUGGUGUAGCGGUGGAAUGCGCAGAUAUCAGGAGGAAUACCGGUGGCGAAGGCGGGUCUCUGGGCUGUUACUGACACUGAGGAGCGAAAGCAUGGGGAGCGAACAGG